AACGAACGCUGGCGGCAUGCCUAACACAUGCAAGUCGAACGAGACCUUCGGGUCUAGUGGCGCACGGGUGCGUAACGCGUGGGAAUCUGCCCUUGGGUUCGGAAUAACAGUGAGAAAUUACUGCUAAUACCGGAUGAUGUCUUCGGACCAAAGAUUUAUUGCCCAGGGAUGAGCCCGCGUAGGAUUAGCUAGUUGGUGGGGUAAUGGCCUACCAAGGCGACGAUCCUUAGCUGGUCUGAGAGGAUGAUCAGCCACACUGGGACUGAGACACGGCCCAGACUCCUACGGGAGGCAGCAGUGGGGAAUAUUGGACAAUGGGCGAAAGCCUGAUCCAGCAAUGCCGCGUGAGUGAUGAAGGCCUUAGGGUUGUAAAGCUCUUUUACCAGGGAUGAUAAUGACAGUACCUGGAGAAUAAGCUCCGGCUAACUCCGUGCCAGCCGCCGCAGUAACAC
rnacentral:rRNA from 1 species